GGACUACUGGGGUAUCUAAUCCCGUUUGCUCCCCUGGCUUUCGCGCACUCAGCGUCAGAAAAGGUCCAGCACGCCGCUUUCGCCACCGGAGUUCCUGAUGAUAUCAACACAUUUCACCGCUCCACCAUCAGUUCCGCAUGCCCCUACCUUCCUCGAGGCCGCCAGUAUCAAAGGCUGUUCUCCAGUUAAGCUGGAGGAUUUCACCCCUGACUUUUCGGCCCGCCUACGCGCCCUUUAAGCCCAGUGAUUCCGAACAACGUUCGCACGGUUCGUCUUACCGCGGCUGCUGGCAC
rnacentral:rRNA from 3 species